GAUCAUUAUCGAAAUAGCAUGGCGAGUUGUCGCUGGCCCUUUGGGUCGUGCACGCUCGUCGUUCUUCAUUUCUCCAUCUAUUUGUGCACCUCUUGUGUGGAUCCAUGUCCCUUUUUGGGGACGAUGGGGGGACUGCUUUGCAAUAUUCUUUUCUUUUGCGGGCUUUCCUUGUGAUCUAUAUUUUCACAUACUCCAGUGUAGAGAAGGAAUAAAAUAUAUAUGAAAUUGUUAUACAACUUUCAGCAACGGAUCUCUUGGCUCUCGCAUCGAUGAAGAACGCAGCGAAAUGCGAUAAGUAAUGUGAAUUGCAGAAUUCAGUGAAUCAUCGAAUCUUUGAACGCAUCUUGCGCUCCUUGGUAUUCCAAGGAGCAUGCCUGUUUGAGUGUCAUUUAUAUAUCUCAACCCGCACCCGUGAAAGGGUGUUGGGCUUGGACUUGGGAGUUACAGGCUCUGCUAUUGUGGUAGUCUGCUCUCCUGAAAUACAUGGAGCGGUAAUGAAAGGCCCCCCCUGCUUCAAAGGUGUGAUACAUCUAUCUGCAUCUGGGACUGGGAGGGUUUGCCGCCAAUUUGGAGGGCUUGCUGUUGAUAAAUUUGACCUCAAAUCAGGUAGGACCACCCGCUGAACUUAAGCAUAUCAAUAAGCGGAGGAAAAGAAACUAACCAGGAUUCCCGUAUUAACUGC
rnacentral:rRNA from 1 species